GAUGAACGCUAGCGGCAGGCCUAACACAUGCAAGUCGAGGGAGGAGCCUUCGGGCUUCGACCGGCGUACGGGUGCGUAACGCGUAUACAAUCUGCCUUUCACAUAGGGAUAGCCCGAAGAAAUUUGGAUUAAUACCUAAUGGUAUAUAGAUGUGGCAUCACCUUUAUAUUAAAGCUGAGGCGGUGAAAGAUGAGUAUGCGUUCUAUUAGCUAGUUGGAGAGGUAACGGCUCCCCAAGGCGACGAUAGAUAGGGGUUCUGAGAGGGAUAUCCCCCACACUGGUACUGAGAUACGGACCAGACUCCUACGGGAGGCAGCAGUGAGGAAUAUGCGACAAUGGUCGGAAGACUGAUCCAGCCAUGCCGCGUGCAGGAAGACGGCCUUAUGGGUUGUAAACUGCUUUUGCAGGGGAAGAAUAAGGACUACGCGUAGUUUGAUGACGGUACUCUGCGAAUAAGCAUCGGCUAACUCCGUG
rnacentral:rRNA from 1 species